rnacentral:rRNA from 1 species
AGAACGAACGCUGGCGGCAUGCCUAACACAUGCAAGUCGAACGCUCUUGGGAUUUCGGUCUCAAGGGAGUGGCGCACGGGUGAGUAGCGCGUGGGAACCUGCCCUGUUGUGGGGGAUAACCGAGGGAAACUUCGGCUAAUACCGCAUAAGCCGGCUGUCUUGCGAAAGAUGGCCGGGAAAGAUUUAUCGCGACAGGAGGGGCCCGCGUCGGAUUAGGUAGUUGGUGGGGUAACGGCCCACCAAGCCUGUGAUCCGUAGCUGGUCUGAGAGGAUGAUCAGCCACACUGGGACUGAGACACGGCCCAGACUCCUACGGGAGGCAGCAGUGGGGAAUAUUGGACAAUGGGCGCAAGCCUGAUCCAGCCAUGCCGCGUGGGUGAUGAAGGCCCUAGGGUUGUAAAGCCCUUUCGGCGGGGAAGAUAAUGACGGUACCGCAGAAGAAGCCCGGCUAACUUCGCGCCAGCAGCCGC